rnacentral:tRNA from 1 species
AAAGCUUUAGUAACAAUAUUACAUAGCCCUGUCAGUGCUAAAUUAUGGGCAACUAAAACCCGUAAGCUUUA